UACGUAGGGUGCGAGCGUUAAUCGGAAUUACUGGGCGUAAAGCGUGCGCAGGCGGUCUGUUAAGACCGAUGUGAAAUCCCCCGGGCUUAACCUGGGAACUGCAUUCGAGACUGCAUUGCUAGAGUAUGGGAGAGGGAAGUGGAAUUUCCGGUGUAGCGGUGAAAUGCGUAGAUAUCGGAAGGAACAUCAGUGGCGAAAGCGACUUCCUGGACCGAUACUGACGCUCAUGUGCGAAAGCGUGGGGAGCAAACAGG
rnacentral:rRNA from 1 species